rnacentral:tRNA from 1 species
UUCCCAGUGGCUCAGAUGGUAAAGUAUCUGUCUUUAAUACAGGAGAUGCGGGUUUGAUCCCUGGGUUGGGAUA